rnacentral:rRNA from 1 species
UACGUAGGGGGCAAGCGUUGUCCGGAAUCAUUGGGCGUAAAGAGCGUGUAGGCGGCUCGAUAAGUCUGCUGUGAAAAGUCCAGGGCUCAACCCUGGAAGGCCGGUGGAAACUGUCGGGCUAGAGUCCGGAAGAGGCGAGUGGAAUUCCCGGGUGAUAGCGGUGAAAUGCGCAGAGUAUCGGGAAGGAACACCAAUGGCGAAGGCAGGCUCGCUGGGACGGUACUGACGCUGAGACGCGAAAGC